GGUAUCGUGGCGGAAUUGGUAGACGCUAUGCUCAAUGAUUGGACGGUCAAUCCAUAGAUGCAAAGAACUGACAACUCAUGCAGGUUCGAAUCCUGCCGGUACCA
rnacentral:tRNA from 1 species